UGAUGUCAAAGCUAAGCAUGUGAUUAAGUGCUUUUCUGGACCAAAGCUAGAGUUCUCAGCACCUUGCAGGAUUGAACUCUGUCCUCACAAACUGACUAUCCAGAACCAUUACUCAAACUCCAGGUCUGUAGCGAGGAGGCAUCGCCUCCCUCAGAGAGUGACAGCGAGGGACCACAACAUGCCCCCUGGUGGGCCGAACCAGAAGAGCCAUGUCUGCACAAAGGGCGGGCCAGGAAGGGGAAGUAUAAAAGGCGGGCCCUACUGCUCACUUGUGGUGGAGUUACCAUAGGAAAUAGAUGUAUUCUAUUUGUAGAGGUACUACCUCCUGAAGACUGACUAGAGCUCCCAGGACUGCUGGCUGACCAAGAUGCUGAGGAGUUGCUGGGUCUCCCCAGGUUGCUGCCUGUGGACUGGCCAGGGCUCCCUGAGAUGACAGAUGCUGAUAUACCUGAAGGAGGGUGUAGGAAGCAGCUUAGGGAAACCAGGAACAGUCUGGCUAGGAGCUGACCUGACAUAAGGCCAGCAUGUUGUGGGUGGAUCCCUGCUGACCCAGUGGCAGACCACUCUGUCACUGUUAGGUCCCUGUGCUGGGGCAUAGUGGAGUUGGGUGGGCCCAUAUCUCCCCCCUCCCUGUCACUCCAUCUCUGGGAUGGUAAUAUCCCCCUCCUUAGGCCAGGAGGCCUGUGCUUCUUUGGUGACCCUACCUGAGCCCCAUAGAUUGCUUAGCUGCUCUGCCUUGAUUGUGGGCCAGAGCCCAUUCAUUGCUUUGCUGCCCUGCCUGGGCCUGGGGCUCAUAGACUGCCAUACUGUUCUGCCUGGCUGGAGGAUUGGAGCACUAGGUGAAGCUAAUUCUCCCUUUUGAGCUCACCUUUACAGGUCUGUUGCAUCUUACGCUGGGGUAUGUUCCGCAGUCAGCAUGUAAAGCGAAAAUCGCAUAUAGUCGAAGUUACAUUGAGUGUAAUGGCGGGCAGAAUCACCCACACUACAGGCUUGCUAAAUCUAGGUAGUGGAAUAUCCACCAGCUUUGAGGAUUAUCUGCUCUAAUUGAAUAACCUCAAUGUGGCUCCCUGGGGAUCCUGGUCACAACUGUCAAGAGGUUUAAAGAGGAAACAGGAUUGGAAUUCCAAGGCCUACAAACUUGUGCCAUGGACCAAGAGGAGUGGUAAAGAAUUGUGAGCAACUCUGAUCCCAUGUAAACCAGAAAAGGACUUGAGAAGGGAAGUGAAUUAAACAAACAUUCCUAGACAUUCAAAAGUGGGCCACGUAGGAAAUAAUUCAUGAGGGUUUCUUCUGCCUUAAGGUAAGAGCUGAUAUAGCUUUACAGGCAUUAGACUCAAUACCACCCUUAUUUACAGACUUAUCUCCCAUUCAUUUCAGUGGGAACUCAGCCCAUAUGCAAGGGCAGAAGACGACAAUGGUAUACACAUCAUGCAGAGAAUGGCCAAUUUUUCCUUUGUAGUCUCCUCACCCCAAGCUGACAGACAAUAUUAAAUUCAUUUUCACUACUAGCUGCAGUGGCUAUAGCAUUAGCAGAGAAGCACAGGUCUUGAAAGAUUCAACCAUUUUAUCUUCAAAGUCUUCAGAUAAGCCCAGAAUGAUCUAGUGUCAUAUAAUGAAAUGAUGUUACAAAC